GCCAGCAGCUAGCUCUCGACAACUCUCACAUUAUCGCCCACUAAAGCUACACAAGGCUGUGCCAAGUCAGUACCUGGAUGGGAGACCAGAUGGGAAAGCUAGGUUGCUGCCGGAA
ensembl:rRNA 5S_rRNA 5S ribosomal RNA